GACGAACGCUGGCGGAAUGCUUAAUACAUGCAAGUCGAACGGAGUCUUCGGACUUAGUGGCGGACGGGUGAGUAACGCGUGGGUAACCUGCCUUUUACAGGGGGAUAACAUCUGGAAACGGGUGCUAAUACCGCAUAAGUCCUUCGGGAUUAAAGGCGUAAGCCGGUAGAAGAUGGGCCUGCGUUAGAUUAGCUAGUUGGUGAGGUAACGGCUCACCAAGGCAGUGAUCUAUAGUUGGUCUGAGAGGAUGGCCAGCCACAGUGGGACUGAGACACGGCCCACACUCCUACGGGAGGCAGCAGUAGGGAAUAUUGCGCAAUGGGCGAAAGCCUGACGCAGCAAUUCCGCGUGGAGGACGACAUAUUUCGGUAUGUAAACUCCUGUCAGCAGGGACGAUAAUGACGGUACCUGCAGAGGAAGCACCGGCUAACUACG
rnacentral:rRNA from 1 species